rnacentral:rRNA from 1 species
GGGGCCGAAGUGUUCGGAUUGGUUUCAGUUGGUGGCAACAUCGAUUGAGAGUCAAAAGUUCCCUAAACCCUCCCACCUAGAGGAAGGAGAAGUCGUAACAAGGUUUCCGUAGGUGAACCUGCGGAAGGAUCAUUG